rnacentral:rRNA from 1 species
UGGGACUGAGAUACGGCCCAGAUUCCUUACCGGGAGGCAGCAGUGGGGAAUAUUGCACAAUGGGCGCAAGCCUGAUGCAGCGACGCCGCGUGGGGGAUGACGGCCUUCGGGUUGUAAACCUCUUUCAAUAGGGACGAAGCGCAAGUGACGGUACCUGUAGAAGAAGCACCGGCCAACUACGUGCCAGCAGCCGCGGUAAUACGUAGGGUGCGAGCGUUGUCCGGAAUUANUGGGCGUAAAGAGCUCGUAGGUGGUUUGUCGCGUUGUCCGUGAAAUUUCACAACUCAAUUGUGAGCGUGCGGGCGAUACGGGCAGACUGGAGUACUGCAGGGGAGACUGGAAUUCCU